UACGUAGGGGGCAAGCGUUGUCCUGAUUGAUUGGGCGUAAAGAGCGUGUAGGCGGCCAGAUAGGUCCGUUGUGAAAACUCGAGGCUCAACCUCGAGACGCCGAUGGAAACCAUUUGGCUAGAGUCCGGAAGAGGAGAGUGGAAUUCCUGGUGUAGCGGUGAAAUGCGCAGAUAUCAGGAGGAACACCGAUGGCGAAGGCAGGUCUCUGGGCAUUAACUGACGCUGAGGAGCGAAAGCAUGGGGAGCGAACAGG
rnacentral:rRNA from 1 species